CUCUCUCUCGCUUCAAACCCCUUCGUUUCAGAGACAACCCUUCAUAUUUGUAGAACCAUAGAUGAACCCCUUCGUAUUUGCAGAUUGAUUCAAGUAUUCAUAGAUCGAUUCAAGCCUCUUCUCUAGUUCGUGUUCGCAUUCGCAGCUCUUUCUUCAUAAUAAAGAGGGUGGACUUAGCAUGGUCAGUUCUUCACCGAAGGCCUCAUCAAAGGAGAUGGAAGGGAAUGCCUUGAUUGGGGUUGACAAGUUGCCUAAGAAGAUAUACAAGACUUUGGAUGAAUCUACCAAAAUCCUAAGAUUUAAAGUUCCAUUCUCCAUGUUUGCAUACCUUAUAUAUUUGGUGAGAAUCU